rnacentral:rRNA from 1 species
GGCGGCGUGCCUAAUACAUGCAAGUCGAGCGAAGAUUUGAAAAGCUUGCUUUUCAAAACUUAGCGGCGGACGGGUGAGUAACACGUGGGCAACCUGCCCUUGAGACGGGGAUAACUCCGGGAAACCGGAGCUAAUACCGGAUAAUACAUAUCUUCGCAUGAUGAUAUGUUAGAAGGUGGCUUUUCGCUACCACUCAAGGAUGGGCCCGCGGCGCAUUAGCUAGUUGGUGAGGUAACGGCUCACCAAGGCGACGAUGCGUAGCCGACCUGAGAGGGUGAUCGGCCACACUGGGACUGAGACACGGCCCAGACUCCUACGGGAGGCAGCAGUAGGGAAUCUUCCGCAAUGGACGAAAGUCUGACGGAGCAACGCCGCGUGAGUGAUGAAGGUUUUCGGAUCGUAAAGCUCUGUUGUUAGGGAAGAACAAGUACCUGUUAAAUAAGCAGGUACCUUGACGGUACCUAACCAGAAAGCCACGGCUAACUACGUGCCAGCAGCCGCGGUAAUACGUAGGUGGCAAGCGUUGUCCGGAAUUAUUGGGCGUAAAGCGCGCGCAGGCGGUUCCUUAAGUCUGAUGUGAAAGCCCACGGCUCAACCGUGGAGGGUCAUUGGAAACUGGGGAACUUGAGUGCAGAAGAGGAGAGCGGAAUUCCACGUGUAGCGGUGAAAUGCGUAGAGAUGUGGAGGAACACCAGUGGCGAAGGCGGCUCUCUGGUCUGUAACUGACGCUGAGGCGCGAAAGCGUGGGGAGCGAACAGGAUUAGAUACCCUGGUAGUCCACGCCGUAAACGAUGAGUGCUAAGUGUUAGAGGGUUUCCGCCCUUUAGUGCUGCAGCAAACGCAUUAAGCA